GAACACCCUCCUUUAGUAGUUUUUCCUUAAAUUGGGCUCACCUGGCAAUCUAAUUAUCACAGGUGUCCGAGAUUGUUUUCAGUGAUCAAAAGAGCCCUGAGACACAAUGCCAUCAAUGAGUUAAACUGAAAAACAAAGUUAAUCUUUUUGACACUUAAAUAGAAUUUGGAUAAUAAUUUGGAACAGGAUGUAAAUGCGAGGUGUCUGUGUAUUAGGAAGACAUGAGAGAU